CAGACCAGCUGGGGUUAGGAACCCAAAGCAGGGCAGGAUUCAUCCACACAGUCAUGGUUUAUUUAUUCAUGUAGCUCCAGCAAAGAAAGUUAAAAACAGAGCUGGAGCCCAGCAGGGAGCAGGGGCCUGAUGCUGCAUGCUGGUCUGGAGGCUUGGUCUCGUCCAGGACGCUGGACUCCCCUGAGGAAGUUGGGGGAGGAGGACUUUCUCCACCAGAAGGAGGAAUGGAUCAAGAACAGAGGUGCUGUGGGAUCCCAGACAUGGGAGGUGACAGCCGAUCCCAAGACAGAUGUGUAUCACCAGGGAGACAUCCAGAUCUCGGUUCUGAAGCAGAUCCAGAAAGCAGCCAUUCUCCUGAGGGGUGUUGCCAGGAAAAAAUAAAACGUCUGCUUACCUGGCAUGUGAUCACAACGAAAGUCUUUGCCAGAACCAAACAGGGGUCCCAGCCAGGAAUGGCGCCGGGGGUCCUGAACCCACCUAGACUGGUGCCCAGACACCCUUUCUGCUCUCUGCACGGAGCCCCCCUCAGCAAGCGCCACCAGCAGGCCAGGCGCCAGGGAAGAUGCCACUGGGAAUCUGCCUCUGCAAAGGAUUUCACAUCAGUGCCUCCAGCUGAUGGAUGUCCAGGCUGGCUACAUGCUUUCUGCUGUCCCAGACGAGGUUGUAAUGCAUGUUCCAGAGCCUGGGUCAGACUAGCUGUCAGGUUCUUAAUACCAGCACCUUGAUUUCGCUUUGAGGAAUGGCUUCUACACAAAUUGGGUCUUGCCUUGGUGGACCCGUGGACCAGUGCAGCUUUUCCCUCUUCCACCAUGGCCAUGGGUGGGCAUUCAACCCCACAGAGGAAAUCGGGCACCCUCUCACCUGGGUGUUUGGAUCAGUGGAGGAUAGACACACCUUCUGGUCCUGGCUGGAACCCUGACAAGAUUGUCAGCUGCUUUCAGGGCCGACUCAGUGCUUGUUCUUCAAGACCAGGCGUCCUCAAACUGCGGCCUGCGGGCCACAUGAAGCGGUGUGAAUUGUAUUUAUUCCCGUUUUGUUCUUUACUUCAAAAUAAGAUAUGGGCAGUGUGCAUAGGAAUUUGUUCAUAGUUGUUUUUUUUUUUUUAAACUAUAGUCCGGCCCUCCAAUGGUCUGAGGGACAGUGAAUUGACCCCUUGUUUAAAAAGUUUGAGGACGCCUGUUCUAGAGAAUGUUCCCUCAACUUUCCUUCCACACUGUGGCCCUUCUGUCAAUUUGUUUUUAUUUAGGCCUCACCAGAGCUGCCUUAUGUUGCUUGUAACUAGGAUCCCAGACUAUAGGGUCACUUGGAGCUGGUGGAGAGAGGCUGUCAUUUGGUCCCACGGGAGAGGGGCACAGUUGGCCUCGGCUCUUUGCCUCUUGCCUUACUUUCCCUUGUCUGGGAAACAGCACCCCCUCCACAUUCUCUUCUAGAAAACCCAUGCUCCCAACCUCAGCCCCAGUCCAUUCUCCACUUUUUACUACUUUCCACAGACUAGACUUUCUUGCUCUGUGUCCCAACACUCUCAAGAGUUCUCUCUCCAAGGUCAUAGUUACCUAAUCUGAGAAGUCAACUCAGGUGAUAGGUGAAUACAUUUCACCUUCAGACAGGGCAGAGUGAAACUUCACUUCUGCGCAUCUUACCUCAGUUUAUAAAUAUCUUUAAUGAAUAUGAUCUUUGUAGUGUCAUGACUGUCUUCUCCUUUACAGAGACUCUUUUCUCUACAGAGACGCCAUUGUGCCAUCUUUGGAGAACCAAAUCUUACUUUCCCUAGGAAGCCAUUCUCCUCUCUCACCCUCUCACCAAACGGCUGUACCGACACUCUGUGUCAGGUGCACGAAGACCAUUUGAGCUCCUUUUCUGACAACUCUGAUUGGUCCAGGGAUGGGCAUGUGACACACUCAGAGCCAAUGAGAUGCAACGGGACUUUUUGUUGGGGCAUCUGGAUUGACAGAGGCCCUUUUCUCCUGGGCUUAGUUUGUCCUUCAGCCAUGGCAGGAGGUGCCCUCUAAGAAUGGCCCUGAGAGGCAAAGAGAGGAGCUGAGGAGCCAGUAGGCACCUGCUGGGACCUGAGGACAGCAUCUGAGCCUCUGGAUUCAGCUGUGUCUAAGCCAACAAACUAUUCCUUGCACGUUUUAGGUAUCUGAUAUUGUAAAUUUCUUUCUUUUAAAUCUAUUUAACUCAAAAAACCAAGAGUGCUGACUUAUAAAAUCCAAUUAUAUGAGGGUUUUACUUGGUCUGGAAGAAUCUGUAAGAGUAGGCUGGAAGGCACGGGGCAGACCAGGAGAGAGGUAACGGUUCAGAGAGGGUGUCUGAGAUCAUCCGGGGUAGCUGGUUACUACUACUCAGCACCUGCACUCAGCUGGCUCUCUAAGCAGAGUCACCAAGUCAUCAGUUCUCACCUUUAUUUCUCCUGCAGGUGUCCUUCUGUACCUUUAAGGCAGAGCACCCAAGUAGCUUUAGGUGGUUUCAAUUAGGCCUACAGUUCGCUUGGCAUGUGAUGAUGCGUACUCUUAAGAAUUUCCCAAGAGGACCCAACCUCAUUUAGGAUUUUGAUGCUGGAUUGGGGGCUCUGGUUCCACUGAACAUUUAAAAAUGCUGGAUCCCUGAUCUGCUAAGGACUCAGACAGUGGGGACAGAAUGACAUGCUUGGGGAGAAAAGUAUCUUCCUGGUCACAAAAAGAUUUUUAAUUGUUCUGCAAUUAUGGUGUUUUUUUUUUUUUUUUUGUCUUUGCUGUUGCUGACUUAAAGGAGGGAAGGUUCCCACCACCCUUCGGGGUUCACUGUUGACGCAGAAUGAACUGACACUGCAGGGUGACAUCUGAGCCUGUCACUGCUUGGCUGGAUUUCAGGCCAUGUCCUUUGGUCUUGCUAAUCGGUUUUCCUGAUUUCCUGGGCUAAUGACUCUCUUUCUCUGGUCUCCAUUCACUGCACCUGGCAUUUCUCCUGUGAAGCCCUUUCUUUCACAUUCUUAUUUAAAGCAAUUGUUGAUGGACACCAGGCUUGCUUAUGGACUAGUGUCUCUGACCCUGGGUCAAAGCAGAAAAUAGGAUUUCUGAGAAGUGUCACAGAGGUCUCAGUUGUCAGGACUGGCAUAGUGAGCACAGACCCAGUGCUCAAAGGACUAUGGCAGGUCCUGUCGGAGAGGAGAGAAUGCAAGCUUGGAACUUCACGGAAUUUAUUCCAAAAGGCAGAUGUGAAAUUCAGACCUGGUGAAGGACUGGGUUUCUGUAGGUGGAAAAAAUAUAGCUACCAAAGUGAUUUGCAUAUAGUUGAACAUUUCAAUUAAAAGAUUUAACAUCUGAAGCUUUAAUGAGUUGUGAGUGACUCUGUGUAGCAAUCAGGAUAGCUAGCUUAUGCUUCAGUAACAAAAGAUUCGCCAAAUCUCAGUGGCUUAAAAUAAGAAACAAUUCAUUCUCACAAAUGCUGAAUUUCCCCUCUAUUAUGACAGGGGGGUUGCACAUUGUAUUCACACAGAGCCCUGGUCUUCCUCUUGAAACAUGUAUCUAGGACCAUGUGUCAAGGAGUUUAAUGAACACUGGCUCAAGAAUGACAUGGACCCCUUUUACUCACAUGUCAUUGGCAAAACCAGUUGCAUGACAACACCAAACAUCAGAAGUGCCGAGGAAGUGCAGUUCUCCCAAAAAGUAGGCAGGAGGCCUUUAACAUAUUUAGCAAAUCUCACUGAUGGCCACCACACCCCAUCACGCACAAGAAUAUGAAGCUUUGCCAAGAUGAGAAUCCGACUGCCCUGUGGCAAAGCUGGGGGGUAGGACAAGAGCUGUGCUCCAGACUGGACUCCACCUGGCGUUUGGAAACCAGAAAGGGCUGGGCUUGUUUCCCAUCCACCUUGUCUUCAAAUAAAUAAUACACUGAUUAAAAAAUUCAGAUUUGUGAUGAAUAACCAUCUCCGAACAGAAAUCCAACUUUCGCCAUUAGAAGUGGAGAAGUCUAAACAUAUCAAUGGUGGUGACCAAUGAAGGGCUCUUUUGGAAGAAAUGAAACAGUGAAAUUCGAAUGUAACCAAGAUGAAUGAAACGGAUGAGACCACAUUGGAUGCUGAAUGGAAGCUUAAAGAAACAUUCAUGAAAGCGUUUCAGUAGGGAGCUAGGCUGUGAAGUAGCUGCACUUCAGGCAGGAUGGCAUCUAGGCCACAGAACUGUUUGCAAAAAUGGCAGUUUCCAGUGGGUCCCUGGAGUCAGGAUCCAGAUGCACUGGGAAAAAAAUGCACUGUCAGAAGGCCUGGAUGUGACAUGAAAUGUCUGGUGAACACCCUGCUCCUGUGGCCUUUGAACCACGUGUAUCUGUGUGUAUGUAGACACUCAUCCCUCAGUAUCCAUGGGACAUUGGCUCCAGGACCUCCCAAGGAGACCAAAGUCAAUGAAUGCUGGAGUCCUUCAUAUAAAAUGCUGUAGUAUUGGGGCAUAGCCUACACACAUCUCUAUACUUUAAAUCAUCUCUUGAUCACUUUUGAUACCUAAUGCAUAAUGUAGAUGGUAUCAAAAUAGUUUUUAUACUGUAUUGCUUAGGAAAUAAUGACAAGGAAAAGGUCUGUAGGUAUUCAGUACAGACAAUUUUUUGAAUAUUUUCCAUCUGAUGUUGAGUUCACAGAUCUAGAAUCCAUGAAUACAGAGGGCUGACCGUAUAUAUACACCACCCUCCAACACAUAUAUGCUGUAUAUAUAUGUAAUUUGUAAAUUUACAGUGAACAUAGGACUCCAAGGGCUAAAAAAUGUAUUUUGUACUGAGUUAUGAUUGGCAUUAUCAGCAGGAGCCCACUAAUGAAAACAAUAAACAUUAGAAGCGAUGCGUGAUGAUCUUACAACACACACAGAAUAUUUAUAUUGGACAUGCAUCUCUCUAAGUGCUGAUGGUGAGCCCUGUGGAAUCUUGAGCAAAGGGGCCCUGGUUCCAGGUCCAUCCCAACAUGUUGAGUCACCCCUUUGUUUGAGGCCCAGGAGAUGUGUACCCCUUGAGUUAGACCACCAUGGGAAGGGUUUGGAUGAGUGGAAAACUCUAUCUUUUGUAAAAUGAGAGAUGGAAGAUUGAAAAAGGGAAUGUGGGAAGAGAAUAGACAUGCUGACACCCAGCAAGCAGGCUGUCUGGCAGGUCACUCUGGGGACUAGGGGAGUUGGAAGAUUAUGAACUGUCCUCGCCCUGCUACCCUUGUAAAACGUCUUGCGUUCCCUGGUAAUCUUCCUCUGUCAGGCCACCUUUGCUUCACACAUGAAAUUGUUGUUCUGGCUUUUCUUUCUGUGUUCAUUUUAUAAGAACCAAAUCAUGUGGGUCUAGUGUGACCCCUUGAAAGUCAUUCAUUGUCUGAUUUGCAUCCUCCUGGACCACCAGGUGCAUGGGGUGGUGUGGAUCCCUCCUCCCUUAAGCACCCAUCCCCCUCCAUCUGCAAAGAAAUUCCAGUUUGUUUGUUUGUUUAUUUAUUUUGAGACAGAGUCUCACUAUGUCACCCUUGGUAAAGUGCCAUGGCGUCACAGCUCACAGCAACCUCAAACUCUUGGGUCUAAGUGAUUCUCUUGCCUCAGCCCCCCAAGUAGCUGGGACUACAGGUGUCCCGCCACAGCGCCUGGCUAUUUUUUGUUGCAGUUGUCAUUGUUGUUUAGUUGUUGGGGCUGGGUUCGAACCUGCCAGCCUGGGUCUAUGUGGCCGACUUCCUCUCCACUGAGCUAUGGGCGCCGCCCAGAAAUUCCACUUUAAUACUCUCAGGACACUCUUUCCUGCCCCUCCCCUCUGUCUCCCUUCUCGUCAAGACCCCACCUCCUCUUCCUCUUCCCCCUUCCCUUGCUUCCACUUUUCUGUUCAUCUCCAGUCUUGGUCUAACUUCUCUCCUUAUCUUUUUUCUCCCUAAACAUUUCCACAGAAUUAAAUCUCAAACGUCAUUUGCAUAAAACCAAUACAAAGGGGCCAAGUGUGACAUUGCUUUAUGGGCCUGGGUCAAUAGCAUUGACAAAUGAAGCUGAUAUCAAAGAAAACAAAUUGUUAGUGUUACUGAGAAAUUAUUCUGUGGGUACUAAAUAUUUGCAUGAAGUAACCAAAACGCUCUGGGGUUUAGGUAGAUGAAUUCCAUUCCAGAACCACUAAAAUGAAAAGCCAACUGCAAAUUAGCUUUGAAAUGGACCUGCCUGUCCUCUGAGAUUUUACAGUGACUAAUGGAUUAGUCCCCGAGUGAACACAAACCUA